rnacentral:misc_RNA from 1 species
GAUGAAGAACGCAGCGAAAUGCGAUAAGUAAUGUGAAUUGCAGAAUUCAGUGAAUCAUCGAAUCUUUGAACGCACAUUGCGCCCGCCAGUAUUCUGGCGGGCAUGCCUGUUCGAGCGUCAUUUCAACCAUCAAGCCCUGCUUGCGUUGGGGUCCUGCGGCUGCCCGCAGGCCCUGAAAACCAGUGGCGGGCUCGCUAGUCACACCGAGCGCAGUAAUACAUCUCGCUUUGGGCGUGCGGCGGGUUCUUGCCGUUAAACACCCCCUUUUUACCGAGGUUGACCUCGGAUCAGGUAGGAAUACCCGCUGAACUUAAGCAUAUCAAUAAGCGGAGGA